AGACGCAGAGAACUGAAACAUCUAAGUACCUGCAGGAAGAGAAAGAAAAUUCGAUUCCCUGAGUAGCGGCGAGCGAAACGGGAAAAGCCCAAACCAACAAGCUUGCUUGUUGGGGUUGUAGGACUCCAAUAUGGUCGUUCUUUCAGAUAGUCGAAUGACUUGGAAAAGUCAGUCAAAGAGGGUAAAAACCCCGUAGACGAAAUGUGGAAGACACCUAGGAGGAUCCUGAGUACGGCGGAACACGAGAAAUUCCGU
rnacentral:rRNA from 1 species